ensembl:lncRNA
AUGAGCUCGAGCCUGUGCUCACGAAGCGGGGGAGUGACGUCACUGCAUUGAAGCGGACAGCCUUUGAGCCCGGAGCAAAGACAGACAGCUCUGUGAACGCCACAACUUUUAAUGUUUGCUGCCCGAGAACGAGCACAACCAGCCUAGACACUUCUCCUUUACGUAGCUCGGCUCUGCUUUGCUCCACACCAACUCGCGGUUUACUCGCCGACUCUGCCGUUAAUUCUCCCUCAAAGUCUGUGUGCCACUUGUCUUGUAUGUUUCAUUCUGGACUAGUAGCAAGUGAGUGAAGAAGUGGGUGACUGCAUGGACUGGACCGAACAUGAAGAGCCUCAAAGCCAAGUUUAGGAAAACUGAUGACUAUGACCUCCGAUAUUUUUGGGCACGUGGCACUACUUACCAACCUGCAGCCUACGGGACACCUG